rnacentral:rRNA from 2 species
CAUGAUUAUAUUAUUUAAUGGCCGCGGUAUUUUGACCGUGCGAAGGUAGCAUGAUUAUUAGCCCAUUAAUUAUGGGAUUGUAUGAAUGGUUUGACGAGAUAUUGACUGUCUCAUGUUAAUUUAUUUAUAAUUUAAUUUUUUAGUUAAAAAGCUUAAAUAUUUUUAUAGGACGAGAAGACCCUAUAGAUCUUUAUUAUUAUUUUUUAUAUUUUUUUUUUGUUUGUUUUUAAAUAUUUUUAUAUAUUAUUUUGUUGGGGUGAUUUUGAGAUAUAAUUAACUCUCUUUUUUUUUUUCAUUUAUUUUUGUUUUUUUGAUCCUUUAUUAUUGCUUAUAAAAAUAAAA